AUAUUCAGUGGUUCGCAACUGCCACGUCAUCGUCCUACGUGGCGCGCGUAAAUCUAGGUGGCUCCACUAAAAUGUGGACACGUAUCCGGUGACUUGGAGUGACUUGAAAAAUAAAAAAAGUCGCUAGGUGCGGCUUAUUUUCUCCUCUCUCUUCCGUCAGCCGACUGAAAAGGUCUGAGAAGACGCAAUAAUUAAUGCUCGAAUAUAAGUUGCCGCUUAAAACUCUCUCUCCUCUUUUCAAUUUUCAAGCCUUUCUUGGCCUUAUCCUUCGUCGAGAAGAGAAACGAUGACGCCUUCUCUCUAUUUUCUCCAGCACGUCCAUUCGCUUCCGCCUCCGCCUCCGUCUCUGCCUCCGCCUCCCCUCCCCUCCCCCUCCCUUCACCCAAAGCCACCGCCGGUCGCUGCUGUUGCUCAGAUCUGCCUCUGGCACGUCGCCUCCUCCAAGAGCCCCGCUCGGUCGCAGCUGCUGGGUCCCGAGCCCCCUUCUCCUCCGCCGUCGCCUUUGGAACCUCAUCGCGCCGAUUUUUGGGAACCCUAGCGAUGUUUACUAUAUGGCCGCACCAUCUCUCUUAGCCUUGGCAAGUUCUGGGCCUCUGUCCGAUUGCGUCCCUCCGACGAGCUCGUCAUCACACCUCACCCCGUCCACGAUCUCAUCAUCUGGGAACAUUUCGGGUACCGGCGGCUGACGGCGUUGUUUGGGUGUUCUUCUUCCUCAACCGAGCUACAGAAAACCUCGAACAUCGCAGUCGGUGAGGUCGAAGAUCCGUCUUCGUCGAGUUCACUGCACCCAGAGUCCCUAUAGAAUUUGGAUAGAAGAAGAUGUCGACCGUGUACGUGUUGCAGCCGCGGACAAAGGGGAAGUUCGAAAUGGCAAUCCUACUGGCUCCAACACAGGUGAAUCCAAUCAAGUAUAACAGCAUUUAUUCAUGUUUCACUACUCUAUUGAGAGAGAAAGGCCCUUCUGCCUUAUGGAGAGGUUGGGCUACCAAGUUCUUUGGAUAUGGUGCUCAAGGUGGGUGCAGAUGGUCUCUACGAGUACUUCAAACAGGUUUACUCUGAUGCCUUGGUCGGCAGCAACAGGAGCUUGAUUUUUUUUUCUCAGCAGUGCUUCUGUGGAAGCAUUUGCAAAUGUGGCACUUUGCCCUUUUGAAGCCAUUAAAAUUCGGGUUCAAGUACAGUCCCACUUUGCAUAAGGUUUGGUAGAUGGCUUCCCUAAAGUGUAUGCAUCAAAAGGGCCUUCUAGGGUAAUUUUUUGUGGCCUUAGUAUGUUUGCUUGUGUUAGAGGUAGGAGGGACAUUCUAUUGCUUUUCUUGCUUUCAGAUUUUACAGAGGACUUCUACCGCUUUGGUGUCAAAAUCUUCCAUGUAAUCUUUUCAUUCCUUCUUAGGCUAUAGAGUUAGUCAGCUAUCUCUUAUUGAAUAUUGCAUCUAAAAUAUGCUUAGAUGAACGGAAGCUGUUCUAUGGGAGAGCAGACCAUUCUCUUUCUAAGUGAUGUUAAAAACUUAAUCCCCAAUUUUGUUAGGAGGGAGAGCUGGUCUAUAGGUGGUUGGUUUCACCCGCCUGGAUCACUAAACCGCAUAAAAUGAAGGCCAACUAGUGGUGAAGUCUCAGCUGAUCCACAGAGAGAGAAUAUAAAAGCCUGAGCUAUGCCCAAACGAUCGCACCGUUUUUCAGAGAGUGAGGUGGUGUCCACAUCAAAUAAGGAAAUUACAGCCUUUUCGGCGUUCGAUAUGGUGGAAUGUUACAAUCAUUGCAACUACUAAACAAUUCCAAAAGACCAUGAGAUAUGAUGGCUGCCUUUUACGCCAUUACAUCUUGUGGUUUAUAGCUCUAGUUCUAGAUUUUUGCUCGACCAUUGUUCUUGCUUUUAGCUCAAGGGAGUUUCUCUCCAUCAUGAAUGACGAAUUCUUGUUCUUGGCAACAAUAUAUGGCUACUUGAUAACUUCCAGGCGUCAUGCUGCA